AGAGUUCGAUCCUGGCUCAGGAUGAACGCUGGCGGCGCGCCUAACACAUGCAAGUCGAACGGUUAAAGCCCCUUCGGGGGUGCAUAGAGUGGCGAACGGCUGAGUAACACGUGGGCAACCUGCCCCCCGCACCGGGACAGCCUCGGGAAACCGUGGUUAAUACCGGAUACUCCGCCACCCCCGCAUGGGGGCGGCGGGAAAGCCCAGGCGGAGGGGGAUGGGCCCGCGGCCUGUUAGCUCGUUGGCGGGGUAACGGCCCACCAAGGCGAUGAUGGGUAGCCGGGUUGAGAGACCGACCGGCCAGAUUGGGACUGAGACACGGCCCAGACUCCUACGGGAGGCAGCAGUGGGGAAUCUUGCACAAUGGGCGAAAGCCUGAUGCAGCGACGCCGCGUGCGGGACGAAGGCCUUCGGGUCGUAAACCGCUUUCAGCAGGGACGAGGCCGAAAGGUGACGGUACCUGCAGAAGAAGCCCCGGCUAACUACGUGCCAGCAGCCGCGGUAAUACGUAGGGGGCGAGCGUUAUCCGGAUUCAUUGGGCGUAAAGCGCGCGCAGGCGGCCUGCUCGGUCGGGAGUCAAAUCCGGGGGCUCAACCCCCGCCCGCUCCCGAUACCGGCGGGCUUGAGUCUGGUAGGGGAAGGCGGAAUUCCCAGUGUAGCGGUGGAAUGCGCAGAUAUUGGGAAGAACACCGGUGGCGAAGGCGGCCUUCUGGGCCACGACUGACGCUGAGGCGCGAAAGCUAGGGGAGCGAACAGGAUUAGAUACCCUGGUAGUCCUAGCCGUAAACGAUGGACACUAGGUGUGGGGGGGAGGAUCCCUCCGUGCCGCAGCCAACGCAUUAAGUGUCCCGCCUGGGGAGUACGGCCGCAAGGCUAAAACUCAAAGGAAUUGACGGGGGCCC
rnacentral:rRNA from 1 species